AUGCCGCCGGCGUCGCAGCCGUACUUCUCGAAGUCACACCGCACCAUGACGGAGGCCACGAAGGCGUCAAGAAAGGCUAAGUGGACAACUGUGAGGCCGCAGGGUUCUUCUCCAUGGAGUUCGCGGCAGGACGAGCACACCAGAUGGUCGGCGUCACACUGGCGUCAAGAUUCAGUUGAGAUAGCAGGAUCCAGAUAUGAUAUGCAAAGACGAUUAAUUGAUGAAAGAAACUUUCGAUCCAUGGCGAUUCAUACCUUGAAGAUGGGAGAUUUGAGGGGGAGGCGGCAGGUAUGGCAGCUCAGCAGCGCCGUGGACAUGCUAAAGCUGAGGACCUGCUGCGAUUCCGUCUCCGUGGCAGUGGCUACCACCGCAAGAGCUCGCUCUCCUCCGCCAUGGCUUAUGUUUUUCUCCUUUGAGAAUGACGGCGCGGGGGGAGUGGUGGAUGGAUGUGAUUCUAGGGCUGAAAGCAUCGGCAAUAUAUAG
rnacentral:rRNA from 1 species